UGAAAGGUAUGUAGUAGCAGUGUAGGAGUUGCGGCUCUUGUUCCUGAGUAUUAUAGUGACUUUAAAGUCACUGCCAAGGACCGCCUUUUGCACUUGCAGAUCCAUCUCAAUAUCCUUUUGUGGUUGGUAUGUGGUGGGUUGUGUAGUUUGUUUUUUAACACCAUACAUUACAGCAGUCUCCAGAGCCAGUCUCUCUUCUGCUGAGCCUUCUUGGAACUUGUAGUUCUCGGUAAUAUCUACCAUAUCAUCAUUUCCGACUCCCUUGGUCACAAUCAGCUUCCCAAUAUGGGUUGUGUCUAUUUUUUCUAUCACUUGGGAUCCAUUUUUUCCCAUUCUUGAGUAAAU
rnacentral:lncRNA from 1 species